GAAAUCCUACAAACAGGACAAGGUGCUGUUGGUUUGUUACCUUUUUCAUGUUUCCUUUAUGUUGCUUUGAUGUUACUAAAAGGCAGUUAAAGUAUUGUGAAAUCAGGUGUGGGCUUUAUUUUAUAAAUUUUUGUUUCUGAUAUUCAACUAUUUUGCUUUCUUCUUGUGCUUUCUUUUUCCUUGUUUCAUUCCUCUUUUUCCCUAUCUAGAACGAGUUUUAACCAAGACCAUAUAUUCACAAUUGAUAUUGCUGUUAUUUUGCGUGUAUAAGUUGUGACGACUUGCUCAAAUUUCUACUGAUUUGCGGGAGUGGAGAGGAGAGGGAAAUUCCCGUUGGCGAAGCAUGGGGUGUAUAUUGUUCCUGUUUGCUGAUUUGCUCGAAUUAAUGUGAAUUUGAAGCUGUACCAUUGCCUUGAAUGUUGCUCUUAUAGUCCUUACAUAAUGUUCUGGAUCUAGCCAUUGGAGCUUUUUAAACAGCUUUGUCUGUAUGUGUGUGUUUGUGUAUCUAUCUAUAUUCAUUUGGCUUUUCAUUUUCUGAUAAUGUGUGGACUGGGAAUCAGGUCUUGCUGAUCGUGAUAAUUA
rnacentral:misc_RNA from 1 species